UACGAGAGGCCCAAACGUUAUUCGGAAUUACUGGGCUUAAAGAGUUCGUAGGCGGCAUUGCAAGUAGGGUGUGAAAGCCCUCGGCUCAACCGAGGAAUUGCGCUCUAAACUGCAGUGCUUGAGGAACCUAGAGGUGAGCAGAACAGAUGGUGGAGCGGUGAAAUGCGUUGAUAUCAUCUGGAAUACCGGAGGCGAAGGCGGCUCACUGGGAGUUUUCUGACGCUGAGGAGCGAAAGCCAGGGGAGCAAACGGG
rnacentral:rRNA from 1 species